AGGGUUUGAUCAUGGCUCAGAUUGAACGCUGGCGGAAUGCUUUACACAUGCAAGUCGAACGGCAGCACGGACUUCGGUCUGGUGGCGAGUGGCGAACGGGUGAGUAAUGUAUCGGAACGUAUCCAGUAAUGGGGGAUAACUAAUCGAAAGGUUGGCUAAUACCGCAUACGCCCUACGGGGGAAAGCAGGGGAUCUUCGGACCUUGCGUUAAUGGAGCGGCCGAUAUCUGAUUAGCUAGUUGGUGAGGUAAGAGCUCACCAAGGCGACGAUCAGUAGCUGGUCUGAGAGGACGACCAGCCACACUGGAACUGAGACACGGUCCAGACUCCUACGGGAGGCAGCAGUGGGGAAUUUUGGACAAUGGGCGCAAGCCUGAUCCAGCCAUUCCGCGUGAGUGAAGAAGGCCUUCGGGUUGUAAAGCUCUUUCGCAAGGGAAGAAACGAUGCAGACGAAUAAUCUGUGUUAAUGACGGUACCUUGAUAAGAAGCACCGGCUAACUACGUGCCAGCAGCCGCGGUAAUACGUAGGGUGCAAGCGUUAAUCGGAAUUACUGGGCGUAAAGCGUGCGCA
rnacentral:rRNA from 1 species